CGAUCCCGUCCACCCCACCGCUUGUCCUCCCGAUUUAAUCGGGAUGGGCAAGAGGAAAGUCCGGGCAACGUAGGGCACCACGCCGGCUAACGGCCGGGGUUUUUGCGGUUUCGGCCGCGGGAAUACGGAAAGUGCCACAGAAAGCUAUACCGCCUUCCUCUUUAGGGAGGGAGGUAAGGGUGAAAACGUGCGGUAAGAGCGCACGGCCGGCCUUGGUAACAAGGUUGGCGGGUAAACCCCGUGGGUUGAAAUACCAAACAGUGUUGUUUCCGACCCAGUCGGAAUCCGUCGGCUCCGGCGGACCCUUCGGGGAGCAGCACGGGUAGGUAGAUGGAGCCGUCGGGCAACCGGCGGCCUAGAUAAAUGGUGGGGCUCUUUGCUUCGGUGAGGAUGACAGAACCCGGCUUAUCGGAACGGGAUCGCGCU
rnacentral:RNase_P_RNA from 1 species